rnacentral:rRNA from 1 species
CCUACGUGAGGCAGCAGUGGGGAAUAUUGGACAAUGGGGGGAACCCUGAUCCAGCGACGCCGCGUGAGUGAAGAAGUAUUUCGGUAUGUAAAGCUCUAUCAGCGGGGAAGAAAAUGACGGUACCUGACUAAGAAGCCCCGGCUAACUACGUGCCAGCAGCCGCGGUAAUACGUAGGGGGCAAGCGUUAUCCGGAUUUACUGGGUGUAAAGGGAGCGUAGACGGUGCAGCAAGGCUGGAGUGAAAGGCGGGGGCCCAACCCCCGGACUGCUCUGGACACUAUGUGACUGGAGUGCAGGAGAGGUGAGCGGAAUGCCUAGUGUAGCGGUGAAAUGCGUAGAUAUUAGGAGGAACACCAGUGGCGAAGGCGGCUCACUGGACUGUAACUGACGUUGAGGCUCGAAAGCGUGGGGAGCAAACAGGAUUAGAUACCCCAGUAGUC